rnacentral:rRNA from 1 species
AGAAGGUGGUGCAUGGCCGUCGUCAGUUCGUACUGUGAAGCAUCCUGUUAAGUCAGGCAACGAGCGAGACCCACGCCCACAGUUGCCAGCGUACUCUCUGGAGUGACGGGUACACUGUGGGGACCGCCGCUGCUAAAGCGGAGGAAGGAAUGGGCAACGGUAGGUCAGUAUGCCCCGAAUAUCCCGGGCUACACGCGAGCUACAAUGGUUGGUACAAUGGGUAUCUACCCCGAAAGGGGACGGGAAUCUCCUAAAACCAAUCUUAGUUCGGAUUGAGGGCUGCAACUCGCCCUCAUGAAGCUGGAAUCCGUAGUAAUCGCGUUUCAACAGAACGCGGUGAAUACGUCCCUGCU